UGCCACUGACGGUGGCGCCGGAGGCUGGGGAGCAGCUACUACUCCUGGUGCUGCUGGUAACGACUCAGGAUGGGGCAGCGCCAAGAAGGCCGUCCCAGCACCGGAUGCCGGAGGUGGGUGGGGGUCUGGCGGUGGGGGCUGGUGAAGGAUAUGUGCUUUUGCUGCAUAAACCAUAAACUACCGUAGAACUAUCGAAUGGAAACCUUUUUUCUUUUCUUGGUAUGGACCCUGUUAUGUUUCUGCUUACUGUUAUCAUGGGAGAAAGUUGGCACCAGUUUGGGACUUGGUAAUCUGCUAGCUGCUGCCGCUGGCCUUGUUAUACCCUGGACGGCCUUAUAUGUUUCGAUGCAUGUACAGUUUCCAGACAUUUGGUAUCUUGUGUCUUUGGUAGCCUCAGUAUUCCUACGAUGUCUAUGAUCUAAUAGCACUUGUUAGGUCGCCAGGUAGCAUCGUGUUAGUUUGCCAAAUUGCCAUGAACUUAGGAUUACCUACCUUAUGCUGUACGUACGC
rnacentral:lncRNA from 1 species